GAUGAACGCUGGCGGCGUGCCUAAUACAUGCAAGUCGAGCGAACGGACGAGACUCUUUCUUCUCUUAUGUUAGCGGCGGACGGGUGAUUAACACGUGUAUAACCUACCUUUAAGACUGGGAUCACUUCGGGAAACCGGAUCUAAUAUCGGAUAAUAUUUUGAACCGCAUGGUUCAUCAGUGAAAGACGGUCUUGCUGUCACUAAUAGAUGUAUCCGCGCUGCAUUAGCUAGUUGGUAAGGUAACGGCUUACCAAGGCAACGAUGCAUAGCUGAUCUGAGAGGGUGAUCGGCCACACUGGAACUGAGACACGGUCCAGACUCCUACGGGAGGCAGCAGUAGGGAAUCUUGCGCAAUGGGCGAAAGCCUGACGGAGCAACGCCGCGUGUGUGAAGAAGGUCUUCGGAUCGUAAAGCACUGUUAUUAGGGAAGAACAGAUGUGUGAGAAAAUGUGCACAUCUUGACGGUACCUAAACAGAAAGCCACGGCUAACUACGUG
rnacentral:rRNA from 1 species